GGCGUCUGCUGUGGCUGCAUUGCCCGGGAGCCAGCUGGGCUGGGAGGGCAGGGACAACUCGGACUCUGUGUGCCCCCACUGCCUGGGAAGGCGGCCAACACCGCUUUUGAAUUUUAAAUGAAACCAAAAUUGACUGCGGUAGCGGGGAAAUAUUUCCUAACACAGUAAUUUCCCUCAGAGUGCAGUUGCCACAUCAAUAAAAAUAAACAGCUCUGUAGUGGCCACAGCUCAGGAAGCAGGCAGAGCACAGGCUGGCCCAGGAGGCUGCUUCCCUGGCUCCUACCUGCCUCCCACCUCCCCACGGGCCUCCCCGAGCCUCCUCACGGCAGGGCGGCUGGUGACCCGAGAGGGGUGGCUGGGGACAGCAUGGAGGACAGGACAGCACCUCAGGACCGGAUUCUGGAUACACUGCACCCUCUCGUGCCAGGUGUUGGCAGUUCCGACCAAGCCCAGGCAUGAGGGAGGGCCAGGCGGUGUGAGCCCGGGGGCAUCCUGGGGGUCGUUCUGGAGGCCAGAAGCUGCAGCCGGAACCACUGGACUAGAAUGACAGCAGGAUCAGCCCAGCACCGCGCCACCGCCUCCCCGUCUGCCUGCCAGCCAGUAGGGCUUCAGCCACUCACCAGCUGUCCCAAGCAGCAAAGCCCGUCGGGCCUCGGGGAGCACUGUCUGUGGCAGUUCACAGCUCCUUCCCCGACACUGUCACGUGCCUGAGUGGCCCAGACAGCAAUCGGCCAGCAUGCUGAGCAGAGCUGGGAGCAGGGUGGACCUGGCAGAGCACUCCCCAGCUGGGGUGAAGAGGGCUCGCCCAGCGUGGGCAUGGGCGGCUGCCUAGACACCCACGUGAGCACUGCCCAAGCUCUGGGGAAACGAAUGAAAGAAGGAAAAGGGGCCGAGAGAGGCGAGAAGAGAACAAUGCUGUUUCAGUCCCAGGUCCAAUCACACCUGCUGCCAGCCCCAUCUGUUCACAUCUCAUUCCCCAGAGCCCGUGGCUGUGUCCCCCACGGGGCAGAAGAGACUCUGCAGGAUGGAGGCAGGAGAGGCAGAGGGAGCAGUGGCCGCAGCAGCAGAGGUCGGGGUGACAAGCAAGGGACCAUGCCAGAGCCCAGGAGCACAGCAGACUCUGGAGCCCAAAGAAGUCAGCAACGAGUCUUCCCAGAACCCCCAGAGGUGCCCAACCCGCCCACACCUCC
rnacentral:lncRNA from 1 species